UUUUUUCCUCUAAAUCUUUUUCGUUGAUGUCUACGAACUUAUAACAUCGAAUUGGAUUGUCCAGAACCUCGAAAUCUAAUAUAGACAAUCCUGAGUUGCUCAAUUUGCACUGUCCCAAACGCAUUGCCAUCGGAAAAAUUAGUUGUAUUAACUACCAUGUUCGGUCUACAAGUUUCAGGAUUCGGCGAAAUUUUGGGUAUUUUUGGGCCAGUUGAUGUCGCCACCUUCGUUUAGAAGGGGAACAUGGUUUGUCUGUGAAACUCGAGAAUCGGAGUGAAUAUAACUGUGGGUUUGACUUGCAACAGAGAAGCCAGGGUUGGAGGAGGUGCGGAGGGUGGUUGUUUUGGGUCAAGAGGAAGGUGGCGACUUGGCAAGUACGAGUUAUCAAUGAUGAUCUCAUAGCCUGCCUGCCAUAGGACGGUCUCCAAAGACUUUCCUGCAGCACCUAUGGAAUAAUUGUCUACAGCACAAAGAAAACUAUCGUAUUGCCUUUUAUAUGGUUACUUCUUGAUUUGGAGAAGAUUUAAUUCCAUUCAAUGCCAAGUUAAAUUAAUGGAACGGUAUCAUGGCUGAUUCAGUGUCCAAUGCUCCGGAUAAUCUACCUUUUGGAACUUACCUGUUGCACUAAGACAAUGCUUUGAUUUGGAGAGAGGCCAGCACUGCCACCUAAGAGGACGUGGUUCAUCUUUUCUUCAGCUAGUUCUUUCAGUCUAAGGAGCUCUGGCAGUACUUCCUUGCAAAGAUCUGGCCUGUCUUUUCGUCUGAGCUCUGCACAUCGAAGUGAUAGCUUUGCAAAGCACAAGGCUUCUUCUACUGGCCAAUCGGUCACAGCUGGGUCCAGCAUCUCUGUGAAUUUGCCUUUCUCAAUAGAGUUUCCAACAUAGUAAGCCAGGCCCAUUGGGGGUUUGGCUGUUAGCAAUUGCAGAAGCACGAUUCCCAGGGAAUAUAUAUCAGAUUUUACACCAAGCAUUCCUGUUUGUUGAUAUUCUGGAUCAAUAUAGCAGAAAGUUCCGGCUGUUGACGUCAUGUGGUACUGUGUUACAUUUUCAGCCACUGCAGGUACAAGCCUUGCCAAUCCGACAUCACUAAUCUUACUGACAUAGUUGUGGUCUAACAAAAUGUUUCCUGGCUUGAGGUCACGGUGUACCAGCGGCUCUGGCUUUGUCUGAUGGAGAAAGAGUAGCCCAGUGGCGAUUUCUGCUGCAAUUUUGAACCUGAGUUGCCAAGAGAGAACUGGGCUGUUUCCUUUCCGGAAAAGGCGGUCAUCUAAACUUCCAUUAGCCAUGUAUUCAUAGACUAGGAUGCCAUACUCAGGACAUGCUCCUAGAAGGAGUACCAUAUUGGGAUGUCUUAUACAGCUAAGUACGUCAAUCUGCAAUAGAAUAUUCAAGGAAGAUGUAAGAAUCAACUUUCAGUUCUAUAUUGGUGACUUUCUUGUCAUAUUGAGGAGGAAGCAGUUAAGAAAAUGAAGUUUCUAAUCGGGUAGUUUCACAAGCUAUUUUGGUAGAAAGGAAAUAUUCAUUGUUGUAAAGUAUUAAUCAUAUGGUUAUCAUUGCAGAUCCUACCUCGAAUAAAAUAUUUGAGCUGUUCACCGGUUACCUUACCAUAUACACCUGCUUUGUAGCAUUCUGCUCAAUGUAUGAUGUGAAAUUCUAGAUUGAAAAAUGGUGUUUUCCUUUCUAUUGUAUUUGUGAAAGGGACACUACAGUUCUCUCUUACUUGACCAAGUGGUCUUGUAGAUUCUUAUAGCCAAUGGCAUCAGCAUCUUUCAUUUAUGACAAGCGUAUCAAGUCUAUAUAGCCAAGGCUACUUGAAACUGUGGUGGAUUUUUAUUCAACUAAAAUUCAUGUAUCAAUAACCAAAAUUGAUAAUGCAUGUUGUAAUCUGCUGCUCUGCAUAUAUUGUUUCAAUUGGUUUUUUGGUUUUAUCUUUUUAUUGCUAUUUUGAUUUUGGAUGGAGCUGAGUUGUGUUGUCUCAAGUGUUUUAUUUGUAUCUGUUAGGCAAAUGAUAUUCUUGGUUCCUCACCUCUUGCUGAAAUUGUGAUCUCCCUUGAGCAGCAUCUGGACGCAAAAGCUUGACUGCAACUGGCGUAUGAUCAAGGUAACACCUAAAGACAGGGCCAUAGCCUCCUUCCCCAAUCUUGCGAGACUCAGCAAAGGAUUCCGUUGCAUCCUCAAUCUCUUCAAUGGUGUAUCUUCUGUAUUUGAUAUCACUUUGGGCUAGACUAUCUAAUACCUUCCUCAUUUGCUCUGCUUCUUUGAGAGCUUUGAUUUCUGCAUUUGCUCUUUUUUGUGAUUCCAACUCUGCAAUCCUCUUUGCUGCAUCAGCUGCUUCCAUGGCUGCCCUGCACCUGGCUUUCUCUUGCUCUGCUAUUGCCAGUGCAGCUUCCUCUGAUAGUCUUGCCUCUUCUAAUUUUCUCUCCUCUUCAAGUCUACAAUGUUGCAGCUCCAUUGCCUAUGGUAAGUACAAUUGCCUAUGAUUACCGUUAUCGAAUAUUUCUGGUUACUUAUGUCACACGUGCAUAUGGUUGCUUACGGCAUAGGAUAGUUGAUAAAAAGAAAAGCUGUUUCUAAGAGGAUCAUACCGUUGCCAAGUUUUGCGACGACCAUGAAGAUGAUGUUCUACUGCUCUCCUGUGAGAAUGAUAAAUCGUGCAAAAAGUUGGGAUCGUUCAACUUGGGUCUGAACUGGAUUGAUCCUGUGCUUUGAUCUGAGCUGGUUGAAAACCGCGAGGUUGGGGCCGAAUCAGAAAAAUCGUAUAGGGAAGAAGACGUCUGAUCAGUGCUUGGCCUUCCAGAACUUGUAAAGGAUAUGUCAGCAUCUGAUUCGGACAUGUCCAGAUUGCACCUCACAUUCAAAGCUCUUCCUCCUUUUGUGAAUUGUGGCCUGUGUUUAGUCACGGAAAAUGGCAUUCAAACCUGUAUUCCAGCACUCUUUUAUGUUGAUUAUUGUUCCCUCAUGUGUGUACAUAUAAACUUCUGGUAGAUUAAUCAAAUUAUAGUCUAUUCUGAUCAUUC